ACAACGACAAAUAUUGAUAUUUCAUUGUCGCAUAUCCCUAAAGAAGUAAAUCAACCAUUUACAAGUUCAGAUGUGUGUGUGUGUGUGUGUGUGUGUAGAUACAUGUUCUAUUAGAAGUUCCGUUCUAUCAGAGUUCUCAAAUAGUGAGUAUAAAGAAAAUGCAUCGUCCUCCAAAAAAUAUAAAUUAGAUGCUACCGUUUCUGAAAGUAAUGAAGUUAUAUCAAAAGAGAAGUUGCAUGAAAUAAUAAAAAAUUUUGCGUGCGGACAAGAAAUACUUGACAAUUAUGAAAAAAAUAAAUAUUUAUCAGAAAAGUACAGAAAGCUUUUCAUAAAAAUUGUUGUGCAAAGUUUAUUAGAAUAUAAAAAAAAAGUAAAUAGACAAAUCUAUUCUUGGGAAAAGUGUAAUUAUGCACAAGCAAUUAUUGAACUCUUCCCAAAUUUAAAAAACUGUGAAGGUGAUCUUGGCUAUGAACACUUUUAUAAUCCUAAAACUGGGACUGGAUAUAUUGCUUCACGUUUAUCAAAUGUACAACGAAAGGGAAGCAUCUCAAAAGUAAUUGUGGAUAACAAACAAAAAGAAAAUAUUGAUAAUAAUAUAACAACUGAGUCUGUUGAUGAAUCGGACAUCAUUAAAGAUUCAAUCAAUUUUAUGAAACAUGCAACAUUAGAACAGAAAGACCAGAUUAUAGAGAAAACUAAAGAAACUUUUAAAGUUCGUCGAUAUUUAUAUUUAAAUGAGAAUUUUUUUAACGUAUUUCCAAGAUUUUUGGAUAUGCCUGAACUGUGGAUCAUUUAAAGAGAUUGACUAGAGAAAUAGCAACUGUAAAAUACGAUAUGAGACAAGCACUAUCUCUAUUGGAUAUUUUAGUGGACAAAAGCAACAGAAGUACAGAAUGUGAAAAUAUGAGAUUUUCUUACGAAGGCGCUGAAAGUCGAUUUCCUUUAGAAACUAGAGCCCAAUUAACGGAAAUUGAGGAAGUUUUAAAAACUGCUAAUUCCCAAGAGAACACUGAAAUACGCGCAUAUAUACAAGCAAUUGGUGGAACAGGCGUCGAUGAUGCGGUAAAGAGAACACUUUAUAAAGUAUUCUCAAAUAAAUUGGCGGAAAAUUACAAUUGGGAAGGCCGACGUGGAAAAUAUCCAUUACAAAAUUUAGAGUUAAUGAAAGUUAUUUUCAGAUCCAUACUUUACAAUAUCUCGGAUUCUGUUCGAACAAAAAUACAACGAAGAGUCAUGGAGUGGUUUAGGCAUUCCAAGGCAAGAUACAAUAAUGAAAAAAAGCGGACCGUUAGAGACGAAAACAAUGGUUCACCCGAUCGCCAUUCAUCAAUGGAAAAUUCAAAUUAAUAAUUUAUAAAAGAUCUUAAUAAUCUAU